rnacentral:rRNA from 1 species
GUCGAGGAUCUUCCGCAAUGGGCGCAAGCCUGACGGAGCGACGCCGCGUGGAGGAUGAAGGCCUUCGGGUUGUAAACUCCUGUCACAGAUUAAGAAUUGCACUCCGUGAACAACGGAAGGCAUGACGUUAGUUUGAGAGGAAGCACCGGCUAACUCUGUGCCAGCAGCCGCGGUAAUACAGAGGGUACAAACGUUGUUCGGAAUCACUGGGCUUAAAGCGCACGUAGGCGGCCUUGCAAGUGCGAUGUGAAAGCCCCCGGCCUAACCGGGGAACUGCAUCGUAGACUGCCAGGCUUGAGGACGGUAGGGGAGACUAGAACUCCUGGUGGAGCGGUGAAAUGCGUAGAUAUCAGGAGGAAUACCGGUGGCGAAGGCGAGUCUCUGGUCCGUCUCUGACGCUCAGGUGCGAAAGCUAGGGGAGCAAACGGGAUUAGAUACCCUAGUAGUCC